CGGGGCUUAAAGUCUUGUAAUUGGAAUGAUGGGAAUUUAAACCUCUUCCAGAGUAUCAAUUGGAGGGCAAGUCUGGUGCCAGCAGCCGCGGUAAUUCCAGCUCCAAUAGCGUAUAUUAAAAUUGUUGCAGUUAAAAAGCUCGUAGUUAAAUUUCUGCUGCAUUGCUUGUGUCCCUCUGGGGUCUGUGCAUGUGGCUUUUUUCGGACGGAGUUUCUUUGUCUGAAUGUUUACUUUGAGAAAAUUAGAGUGCUCAAAGCAGGCUUUCGCCUUGAAUAGUUUAGCAUGGAAUAAUAAAGUAGGACUUUGGUUCUAUUUUGUUGGUUUUAGGUACCAAAGUAAUGGUUAAUAGGAACAGUUGGGGGCAUUCGUAUUUAACUGUCAGAGGUGAAAUUCUUAGAUUUGUUAAAGACGAACUACUGCGAAAGCAUUUGCCAAGGAUGUUUUCAUUAAUCAAGAAC
rnacentral:rRNA from 1 species